rnacentral:rRNA from 1 species
ACUCUGGAAUGAGUCUUCACCCAAAAAGCUUUACGUUAUGCGCGUGAAGUCGCCUAAGGAUGAGGCCGCGACCGAUCAGGUUGUUGGUGAGGUGAUGGCUCACCAAGCCUUUUACCGGUGCGGGCCGUGAGAGCGGGAGCCCGGAGAUGGGCACUGAGACAAGGGCCCAGGCCCUACGGGGCGCAGCAGUCGCGAAAACUUUGCAAUACACGAAAGUGUGACAGGGCUAUCCCGAGUGCCAUCCGCUGAGGAAGGCUUUUACCCAGUCUAGAACGCUGGGGGAAUAAGGAGAGGGCAAGUCUGGUGUCAGCCGCCGCGGUAAUACCAGCUCUCCGAGUGGUGUGGAUGUUUAUUGGGCCUAAAGCAUCCGUAGCUGGCUAAGUUAGUCCCUUGUUAAAUCCACCGAAUUAAUCGUUGGAUUGCGGGGGAUACUGCUUGGCUAGGGGACGAGAGAGGCAGACGGUAUUCCCGGGGUAGGGGUGAAAUCCUAUAAUCCCGAGAAGACCACCAGUGGCGAAGGCUGUCUGCUAGAACGCGCCCGACGGUGAGGGAUGAAAGCUGGGGGAGCGAACCGGAUUAGAUACCCGGGUAGUCCCAGCUGUAAACGAUGCAGGCUAGGUGUUUGGACGGCCACGUGCCGUUCUAGUGCCGCAGGGAAGCUGUUAAGCCUGCCGCCUGGGGAGUACGAUCGCAAGAUUGAAACUUAAAGGAAUUGGCGGGGGAGCACCACAAGGCGUGAAGCUUGCGGUUUAAUUGGGCAACGCCGGAAAUCUCACCGGGAGCGACAGCAGUGUGAAGGCCAGAUUAAAGGUCUUGCCAGACGAGCUGAGAGGAGGUGCAUGGCCGUCGCCAGUUCGUGCCGUGAGGUGUCCUGUUAAGUCAGGCAACGAUCGAGACCCGCAUCCUCUGUUGCAACUAGCCUUGUGCUGGGCACACUGAGGAGACCGCCACUGAUAAAGUGGAGGAAGGGGCGGGCCACGGCAGGUCAGUAUGCCCCGAAUCUCCCGGGCCACACGCGAGCUGCAAUGGCAGGUACAAUGGGUUCCGACCUCGAAAGGGGAAGGCAAUCUCGAAAGCCUGCCGUAGUUGGGAUUGAGGGUUGUAACCCACCCUCAUGAACAUGGAAUCCCUAGUAAUCGCGUGUCACUAGCGCGCGGUGAAUACGUCCCUGCUCCUUGCACACACCGCCCGUCGUUCCACCC